UGGGGAAUAUUGGACAAUGGGCGCAAGCCUGAUCCAGCCAUGCCGCGUGAGUGAUGAAGGCCUUAGGGUUGUAAAGCUCUUUUGUCCGGGACGAUAAUGACGGUACCGGAAGAAUAAGCCCCGGCUAACUUCGUGCCAGCAGCCGCGGUAAUACGAAGGGGGCUAGCGUUGCUCGGAAUCACUGGGCGUAAAGGGCGCGUAGGCGGCCAUUCAAGUCGGGGGUGAAAGCCUGUGGCUCAACCACAGAAUUGCCUUCGAUACUGUUUGGCUUGAGUUUGGUAGAGGUUGGUGGAACUGCGAGUGUAGAGGUGAAAUUCGUAGAUAUUCGCAAGAACACCAGUGGCGAAGGCGGCCAACUGGACCAACACUGACGCUGAGGCGCGAAAGCGUGGGGAGCAAACAGG
rnacentral:rRNA from 1 species